rnacentral:lncRNA from 1 species
AGACAAAGAAGAAAAGGGGGGUAGAAGGAGACCCUUGGAAGGAGUAACCAUACACAGAUUUGGAGGUGGUGUUGGAAAAGAGGCUACAUGGAUGAGGCACACAUAGACCAGGUGAGAUGAGAGGCCUUGCAAGAAGACACCCAUCAUGAAGAGUACAGACGCUUCUGAAACCAGAAGUGGUUUGGCCACUGAGAUUGGCCAGUGAGAUACUGCUGGUUUUGAGAACAAGGAACAGAAACUGAAAUUUCUCAGACUUAUGAGUGGCUUCGAGAAUCUGCCCUCUCUGUUCAGCUGCUCCCCCAGCAUGAUUUUGAGGCCCAAAAUUACCCUCAGCAAGAAAGCAACUAAAAGCCUACAGCAGAGCCUGCAGCAGGACAGCAACCAAACCUUCCACUGGAAACACAACUGAGGAGCUGGCCUUGGUUUCUCUACUGUCUGAAACAGAAUAUUUUACAUUGAUAGGAAUGCUUCCAAAUCAAUCAAGUUGGAAGAUUAAACUCUAGUGUUUUGUUCCCUAAAACAGCCAGAAUUGCUUUUAUUAUUCAUUUGUGGAGAUGAAAGCCACCUGGCAGUUGUGUCAAAUCAAACUCGUUUGGAGAUUAAGGACAAGGACAGCUAUAUUGAUGGGCUCAAAAGAACUAGGGCAGGGGGAGCUCAUGUUUCAGGAGCCCAGAGAACACAUGUCAGACUAUUAUCUUAAAGAAUCGAAGGGUGUUACAAUUCCAGCUGACCUGGAGAUCAUCUACUCAAAUCUCAAGUUUCAGGUAAGGAUAUGACAGCAAAUAAUAAACAUGCAGAAAGGAUAAACUUCUGUAUUAGUCUUUGUGGUACCUUUACUGUCUGAAUGACUUUGUCUGUACUCCCCAGUCCCCAAAUAUGUAUCACAAUCACUUCUUCUGCCACCAUGCCUUCUCUAUAUUUUUUAAUUGGUUGCUAAUCAUAGAGCAAAUUCAUAAAUUAUAGACAAUAGUCUAUUAAGGAAAGCUAGCAUUUGAGGUGGGACAUGUUAAUACUACAAUUUUAGGCCAAAUAUAUUCGGUAACGU